AUUGAACGCUGGCGGCAGGCCUAACACAUGCAAGUCGAGCGGAUGAAGGGAGCUUGCUCCUGGCUUCAGCGGCGGACGGGUGAGUAAUGCCUAGGCAUCUGCCUGUUCGUGGGGGUUGACGUUCGGACACGGGCGCUAAUACCGCAUCCGCACAGGGGGUGCAGGUGGGGGAUGUUGGGCCCUCACGCUAGCGCAUGACCCUAGGUCGGAUUAGCUAGUUGGUGGGGUAAAGGCCUACCAAGGCGACGAUCCGUAACUGGUCUGAGAGGAUGAUCAGUCACACUGGAACUGAGACACGGUCCAGACUCCUACGGGAGGCAGCAGUGGGGAAUAUUGGACAAUGGGCGAAAGCCUGAUCCAGCCAUGCCGCGUGUGUGAAGAAGGUCUUCGGAUUGUAAAGCACUUUAGGUAGGGAGGAAGGGGAGUAAGUGAAUACCUUGCUGGUUUGACGGUACCAGCAGAAGAAGCACCGGCUAACUUCGUG
rnacentral:rRNA from 1 species